rnacentral:lncRNA from 1 species
AAAGAUCAGAAUGGAUCAUACGCUGCUGGGGAUAAAGGAUCAGAAUGGAUCAUACGCUAGACCGUAUCUGAAUUGCAGACUGAACCGUCUAUUAGGCUGCCUUUGGAGAAGUAAAGAUCAGAAUGGAUCGUACGUUAGAUCGUAUCUGAGUAGCAGAAUGAGUUAUCCAUUAGGCGGGUGACUUCGCUGGGGAUGAAAGAUCAGAAUAGAUCAUACGCUAGAUCGUAUCUGAGUUGCAGAAUGAGCCAUACGUUAGGCUGUAUCUGAC